rnacentral:snoRNA from 1 species
CAUCUCUGACAAACCUGGAGUAGUUAAUAUCUGCUACUAAGGUUGCUACUACAGACUUAAGAAAAAGAAGGUCCUCACAUCUGUCUGUCUGGUUGUGGCAGCCAAGGUUGAAUGGGGGAACACAAGA